rnacentral:rRNA from 1 species
GACAGAGGUGCCAAGCGUUAGGCGGAAUCACUGGGCUUAAAGCGUGUGUAGGCGGGUCGUUAAGUACCUUGUGAAAUCCCCCGGCUCAACCGGGGAACGGCUGGGUAUUCUGGCGAUCUUGAGCCACCUAGGGGCAGUCGGAACAAGUGGUGGAGCGGUGAAAUGCGUAGAUAUCACUUGGAACGCCAAUGGUGAAAACAGACUGCUGGGGGUGUGCUGACGCUGAGACACGAAAGCCAGGGGAGCAAACGGG